AUGAGAUUGAGUUUCACUUUCUUUUCUAGCUGGAGAUGAGGACCCUGCAUCAAAUCCACUAAAAGCAUAAGUUGCUUUAUCAAUGACUUAAAACCACCAUUCAUAAUCUAUGCCACAAGGCUUAGAUUUUUCGAUAACCAAAAACAAGAAUUUUAGGUCUGCGAGAGGUCAUUGUACUAGGGCUCAUUGCACUUGAAAGCCCUCCACCUAUCUCAAAUUGCUUUAUUAAUGCAAAUUCUCUUCUUUUGUCUGUCAAACACCACUGCUAUAGUCCGAUAAGUCCAAUACCAUUGAUGUCCAAUAGGUUUGAUGGGUGAUCAUCGCCAAGCAAAUAAGGCUUUGAUAGGUGAUUGUGUACAGUACAAACUAUUUACACACAUGUUGAUAUAAUGAAUGACAUGUCAAAAAAUGUAUGGUUUAUCUUUGAAGUAUGGAAAAGCUUGGAGGGCCCGAGAACAUGCACUUGAGGUUCUAAUGGGUGAUCCCAAUCGUUUUUCAUGAACGAGCUUCAAGAAAAGAAUCAUGGUUUUGUAACUAGAGUUGAAGUCGAUUCAGAAGGGCACUUCAAAUAGGCCUCUGUCUCUCUAUGAGCAUGCAUACAAGGAUGGCAGAAUUGUAGGCCUUUUGUAGUAGUAGACGCAUCAUUCCUUACUGGAUGUCAUCGAGGAAGCUUGUUACGAAGGAUGCAAACAAUGGUAUAUUUGUCCUAGCUUUUGGUAUUGGAGAUUCGAAGAAUAGUAAUACUUCUUACGAAAGUUCAAGAAAGCAUAUGGCAAGCGUGAUGAGAUGUAUUUUAUAUCGAGUCGACACCCCCAACAUUAGGUAUGCUAUUCAUGAUGUAAACCCCAACAUUGUACACGAUUUUCUGCUCACCAUUAGUUACAGAAUAUCAGAAAAUCAUAUGAGUAUGCCAGGGAGAAUAUCAUGAAAGCAUUUAAUGUUACUGCGAGGGCGUAGGCGAAACAUGAAUUUGAGAACCAAAUGGAGUAAAUUGAUCGGAUAAAUAUUGGGAUUAGAAAAGAUUUGGUAAGCACACUUAUCAAGUAUGACAUAUAUUUUAAUAAAAACAUAUCGCACGUGAAAAUCUAUCAUUACAAUUCAUAAUAGUAAGGCAAUGCGAGAUCUAAAUGUUGAUGAAAAUCUAGUUUGCAGAGAAUCUCAGACCUGUUUAUAAGUCUUUAGACUAUAAAGACCAGCAACAAUCUUCUCCGAGAUUGAUGCAAGCAGCCAGCUGAGGAUGUAGUUGUCCUUCAUGUAACAUACUACAUAUCCUGGAUUGGGAGUGUCAUCUGAGAGUCUUUUCGAAGGAAUCUCCACAAUUCCAUCCACAAAACCAAUAAGGUCAUGACUUCUUAGAAAAAACAGUAAUCUGGAUGCUUAAGGGCACGAAGUUUGGGCCAUCAAGUUUGUUGGAUACUGGAUGAGAAUUUGUUUGAAUGGUAGGGUACGAUGUCUAUUUGUGUCUGCUUUGUUUCAGCAGAGCAGGCAGAUGAAUCCAUCAUAACGAAAUUGUAUGCGGAAGCUUUUAGUGUUUUUAGGUUGAGGAUCAGGCCUUAGCCUAUUUUAGCUUUGUUACCAUGAAAAGAAUAAAAUAGUAAGCAUAUAAACAAGGACAACUUGUGACUUGAAUAGCUUGGCUUAAUUAUCAAGGCUGUGUAUUACAGUCGUAUUUAUAGAGGAAGAAAUAACAAGAUUACAUAGUCCUGAGGAGAGAAAUAAGAAGAUAUAAUCAAAUUGUGUCCAAAAGUAUGUAAAAUCUAUUUUAUAAAUAAAAUAAUAUCUUUCUUCAAAUCCU
rnacentral:lncRNA from 1 species